UGCGCGGGGCUCGGGAGAGCGCGGAGUCCGGCAGGCUGAGAGCAGAGCCUGAGUGCGCCGCCGGUUCAGCCGGGCAGGGUCGCCUCGCGCCAGGAUGCUGCGCCCCGCCGCCCUGUCCAGCCAGCAACCCUGGCGCGACCCCGGGAAGAAGCACAGGUUCUUUCGUCCAGUCGCCGCUGGAGGACCGAAAGUUUUGCUCGCUGCAAGUCUCUUCCUCCCAGAGUCCCAGUCACCCACCAUGCGACGUCCCAGAAGGAUCCCGGAGGCUUAGUGGGAACGAAAUCGGCUGUUUUGCACCCCUCCAUCCUUAUCCCUCAGGGUAGAGCAGGGACUCUAGAGAGUACACCUCCCAGCUACCAUCCACUUCACCCUGUCUCCUCUCUCGGUGAGCCUUGGAAUCCGGUCUCUUCGCAGAUGCCUUCAGGAGUCAGAAGCAAAGGGGAAAUGGACAUAACUCCGAGAAACCGAGCAAGCAGGUUGGCCAGAGGACUUCGCAUCACCGGAGAACCUGACUGCCAGGUUUUAUUUCACAUUUAGAUACGGUUCUUCUGGUGAAGAUAGAAGGCAAAAAAAGUGAAUUUCGCCUGGAGUCCUUGGGAGACUGAGGCAGCAGGAUGAGUGAACGUCCAGCCUCAGCAACAGCUUUGCCACCAUGAGCUUCAUUGAUCACAUCCUACCACAACUAGGAGACCUAAACCUUGCUCACUGACAGCAUUUGAAGAUGCAAAUACUGCUAUGGAUUGGAAGGUGCCUGAGGAAUGAAAGGGGACAUAGCCAGUAUGACCCACCUCGUGAGAUUUUAGGGAAGAAAGACCAUAGUGAUUGCAUCUAUUAAGAAGCCCUUACUGACCUGCAUGGUGAGGCUCGUGUGAAAUUUCAGCAUGCGGGAGAUUGAGACAGAAGGAUCACAAGUUCAAGGCCACCCUAGGCUAUGUAUCAAGAACUUUUUUUGAACAAAGAAAAAAGAAACGGCAGUACAUAAUUUCUCCUAGGGCUGGAGAUGAGGCUGUCAGCUGAGAGCUCCUGCUUGCCGAAGACCAUGGGCUGGAAUCCCUGUACUGCAUGGACCAGAUGUGGUGGCACAUGAAGGUCAAGGCUAUCCUCAACCACACAUGAGUUCAAGGUCAGCCUGGGAUACAUGCAAUCCUGUCUCAAAACAAAGAACAGUUCUUUCAAGAGGAAAUCUUAACAUUAAGGCUGUGCUGAUCCAAGACUCUUAUUCUCAGGCUCUGCCCAAUAUGAAAGAGAGUCUUCUGGCUGCCUUCAAAUCAAGAUGUAGAACCCUCGACUCUUCUGGGACCAUGUUUGCCUACACACUGCCAUAUUUCCUGCCAUGAUGAUAAUGGAUUGAACCUCUGAAACGGUCCAUGGUAAUUUGUUACAGUAGCCCCAGAGCUCUCCUUGCAGAUGAAGUAGAAGCCUGGGUCUAAAGAGACUUUGGCAAUGCUUUCAAGGGAUUGUUCCAGGGUGAGUGGACUAGGAAAGAGAUGGCCCUUCAGAUCAGCCAUCCUGUGAUCUGAACCCUAAAUAUCAAGACAGCCUUGCCAACUGGAGAAAGUUUUCUUAGAGGAAGGCGCUGUCAGUGCAAAGUCCCUGUGGUGGAGUCCACGAGCCAGAACACACUCCUCUGAGGAAGGAUGGAAACCCUCUGUCAGCGGAGGCUGCUUCUGGCUGUUUUUGUCCUGCCUUGGAGCUAACCUGGAAGUAAGCAUGUGAGGCUCUUGAUCAAGUAUGAUCAAGGAGGAUUUUUUUGGAUUCAGCUAAGGUCGUGGUUUGGGCUUUAAACUCUGCUGGCAACGUGGAACAAAACGCAUGGUUGAGAUUGACCAGGGAGGAAACUGUCUUCCUAAGUCAGCAAAGGGACCCACAUUGAGUGUAUUGUUUGUGCAAAGGCCCCAGAGCUCAACAUCAGCAGAAAAUGUGACACGACAAAGCUGUCAGCAAAGGUGACAUGCAUCUGCAAUGCUUUCAAGAUCAGGGAACACCUCAAGGGGCUUGGCAAGUGUGCUGCUUUCAGAGAUGUGACUGGGUAGCACAGCUUAUGGGGUCAUAGGAACAGAUAGUUAUUCACUUAUUCAUUCAAUUAAUAAAUGUUUAAUGAGCACCUAUCAAGUUCCCAACACCAACUAGACUUUGGGGAAAUAGCAGUGAGUGGGCCAUAGACGGCGAUGACUUCACAGAACUUACUGGAAAAGGACACAGCACGUUUGCUGUGUGAUUAUUAUUUUCCACUAUUAUUAAAGUUUUUCGAUUAUUAAAUUGUUGUAGUAAUAAAACAGAAAAAAGUAAUUAUAGAAAUAUAUAGUAGCUGGGUGGUGGGUGUUACACACCUUUAAUCCUAGCACUCAGGAGGCAAAGGCUGGAAGAUCUCCGAGUUAGAGGCCAACCUGGUCUACCGAGCAAGUUCUAGGACAGCCAGAGCUACAGGGAGAAACCCAGUCUCAAAAAAACAAACAAAAAUCAUAGUCUUCUGAAUUUGCUUUUUAGUUAAUAUGUCUUGAGUACCCUCUGUUCACAAAUACUCAUUUCUUUUUAAGAGCUGAGUAGUAGUCUACAUUAUGAAUGCAGCACAGUGUAACUGUGGUCUUCUUGGUAGAGCUUGUCUGUACUAUAAAUAACAUGCAAAGAAAACUACCGAGCAUGUCUUUAUGUAGCCUAUGGGCGCAUUUUUAAAGGGCAAACACAUAAAAGUGAAUGUGGGUCAAAGGGGACUGAGUAAUUUAAUCGAGACAUUGCUAUGAUGAGCCCACAUGUCCUACACCCCCAGCAACACGGGUGUCAGGGGUGGCCAUCCUGUCCAAUGGGAAUGACAGCCACUUGUUUAAAUGAACCAUUCUAACCUCUACUUCAGCCGAUGUGAAGCAGCCUAACAGGAAGUAGUCUAAGGCCUCAUAAAGUGUGUGCUGUGACCCCAUGUGGUGUCAUGAGGCUAAAUCUGAAGGUCUCAAAGGCUUUGGCCGUAUUAAAAGCUCACUGAACAUACAACAAUUAAAAAGUAGUUUUAAGCCACACAACCCAGUGCUCCCGGGGUUGCCGCAUCACAGGCCCUCACAAAGCCUUUCUUCUGAACACUACACCCGUAUUUUGCACCGUGUAUGACGUUACUCAGUGCUGAUGGUUCCUGCCGGGGAAGGCUCAGCUCAGAUUUGAGCUACGACUGCUGUAGAGUGCUCCACUGUGCAUGCAGUUUUCUGCUCUUGCAGACAGGCCAGGCUGGAACUGUGGAAAACAGAGUGUUUUCCUGCCGUCCUUCCUCGGCCCAUGGGUAUGAAGUUAUUGUGUCUCUGACUGUUCGCUGUUAGAAAGUUUGAUGUUAAGAAUUGUUAUUUGAGAGCUGGGUGUGGUGGUGCACGCCUUUAAUCCCAGCACUCAGGAGGCAGAGGCAGGUGGAUAUCUGAAUUCAAGGCCAGCCUGGUCUACAAAGUGAGUUCCAGGACAGCCAGGGCUACACAGAGAAACCCUAUCUCAAAAAAAAAAAAAAAAAAAAAAAGAAUUGUUAUUUGAGUUUCAUAGAAAUCAUUCAGUGGAUUAUGGUGUGGGAGUAGGACAGAAUCUCUAAUAAUUCUGAAGGGGUCCCAGUCAUACUCCCAACAUUUUGUACUAUGCAUUCGUGAGAGGCAGCCUUCUUGGUAUUGACAGUUAUACAAUCAAAAUAUUGACCCACUCUGAAAGAUGAUGGAGGUGCUGGAGAUCCUACAAUAUCACAUAUCCAGCCAAGACUUGGUUCAUUUAUGGAAACAAGCAUGGUGUCGAAUUAUUAUGCAAACUUGCUUUAAUCGUUAAUAAAUAGUAAAAAUUACAUGUAUACUACAGAAUUGCUUUAAAAUAAAUUUCUUUAUGAUUUGGAUCCUGAUAUAUCGCUCAGGCUGGUUCUGAACUCCUGCAGUUUGCUGCUUCAUCCUCGAUGGAGGUGAGACCACAGACAGCAUUAUGCCUGGCACCGACCUGGUUUCAACUCGGCUUCUAAGGCAAUAACUCUGCCUGUCUGUCCAAUAGGACACAACAAAUACUGCUUCUGAGGUGCCUGCCGCACCUUCUCUGUGGGACUGCGUUUUGCUGCGCUGCUGGGGUGUCAUGACACCCCUCAGGGAAGUGAAACAGAGGUGCUUGGCUACUUUCCUUCCUUACCACCACCGGGGUGCUGUGUUUGCGGGACACACUGAAACAAGACGCUGCUGGUGGAGCUUCCGUGUCUGACAUCUGAUCACGCUGAGGAAGACCCUGGCCUAAACUCUCCUGAGACAACAGCACCGAAGAACGAUUAAUCCUCCGGCGGUAGCGACUAGUCUAGUCUGUUCACUUAAAAGAAGCCAAACAGAAAACUGCCUGCCACCCUUAGCCUCACACCGACCAUGAACUAGAAUACGAAAGCCCCGCUUUGUGUUUGUGAACUCGUGGGGCUGAUAAGAAAGAACACAGCCUUGGAGCUAGAUGCCUUCUGGUUUGAAUCCCAAGCUCGAGUUUACUAAGUACAAACUUUUUCUCAGAAUCUGUGUCUGAUUCCUUAUAAAUAAGGAUAAUGUCUCUUUCACCAGGCUGCUGAGAUGCACCUGCCAUGUAUGGUGAGUUCAAUAAAUGUUUCUUUCUUUUCUGGCUUAGGUUAAAAAUAG
rnacentral:lncRNA from 1 species